rnacentral:lncRNA from 1 species
AAUAUCCUAGGAUAUCACUAAAAAGUUUAUGUCACAAAUAUAGACUCUAAGAAUCAAAAUGACUAAAAUGUUUCAUUAAAGAUGUAAAUAUACACUUAUACCCUUAGGGUUAACUAAUCCAAACCUUAGGGUUUAGAGUUAAGGGGUAGGGAUUUGGGAUUGAGAUUUAAAAUUUUAUAAAAUAAAAAAUAAAUAUUAAAAAUUUAAAAUAAAAAUUUUUAAAAAUAGUUUCAGAAAGUAUUUUCGAAUUACAAAAAUAAAAUUUGAAAAAAUAAAUAAAAACAAAUUUGAAAAAAAAAAAAUUUAUAAAAAAGUUCGAAUUUGAAAACAUGUAAUCUAAAACUAUAAAAAAGUUUAGAUUUUUUAUAUAUCUAGGGUAUUAGUGUCCUUUUACUUAUUAAAUGAAACAUUUUGGUCAUUUUCCUCCUUGUGGUCUAUUUUUAUGAUCAAAACUUGAAAAUUGUCUAUUUAGGAGAAUUGCCC